AUCCCAAGCAGGCCCCAGGCUCCGAGCUGUCAGCACAGAGCCCGACACGGGGCUCGAACCCACGGACCGCGAGAUCAUGACCCUAGCCGAAGUCGGCGCUUAACCGACUGAGCCACCCGGGCAUCCUGAACUGGUACGUUUGUUAAUGAAAAUGGUUUAAGCAGACAUUAAAGUGUGAGUUUUAGAUACUCCAGGACCGGUUUGUUGGGGGGGUGGGGGGGGGGACACGGGGACACCUAAGGCUGACCGCUUCUCAGAGCGCUGAAGACAGUCUAGCUGGAGACCAGCUCUCACACGUACAGAUCUGAGAGCAGGGCACUGUGUUUUCCCAUCCAGGCCAAACAGUUGGCACGCAUAAGGGCAAUGGGGCCAGGAAACACCCACGCUCUCUUCCUGCACAUCACGAAUAAGGUGGCACAUAUUCCUUUCCCUGUGCCUGUCUGUAUUCAGGUUUUCUUAACAAUGAGAUUUCUCUGGAGCGCGUGUCCUAUAUAACCGCAGAGACGAGUAGCUGACGAGGGAGGUAGUGUCGACUCGCACAGGAUUCUGAGCCAGAAAGCCCUGGCUUUGUGUCUUAGAACCCCAGCUGUGCCCAUCACCAGCUGUGAGACCUUAGGGUGUUCACCUCACUCCCCAUAAAAAUGGGGCAAUCUCUUCCUCUCUGCAGGGUUUUCGGGAGAGGCAGAAAGAGCCCUCCAAAAGGGCCGAGCGUCGUGGUAGGUUCUCAGGAAAUGGAAUGAAUUCGGGUUCUCCUAAACUGAAAUCAUAAACUACCUGUAGGUUGUCAUUGGCUAGAAGCCCUCCUCACUCCUGCUUAGAGCUCUCGAGAACAGGCUGUGGCUUUAAAAAUGCAGAUGCCUUCUGCAGAAGAGGAAAGGCUGUGCGAGGAAAGCCAAAAGGCACCGUGUCCUAACUGGCACGACUCUGUCUGCACCCUGAUGCCUGCCUUGUUGGUCCCAGAAUGCUGAGCAGGGACCCGGACCAGAGCUUCUGUGGUUGCGGGCCCAACUGUAAGGCCAUAAUACAUCACCAUUCUUUCCCCGAUGGUCAUCCCCAGGGAAAAUGCACGUAUGCCUCAGAAAGGCUUCAAGGGGGUCAGCAGCACAAGGUGUGGGAACCGGAGGUGGGGGUGGGGAAGAUGCAGUUCCCGGGCUGCCCGGAAGCGACCGGCUCUCUGGAGUGUGUUGCUGAUGGCAAUAUGGCCGCCACACUUGGCGCCGGAAGGGAUGGCCGCCAUAUGCAUUUUAUGCCGUCACGUUGAUUAGACCCGCUCCUGUUUGCUCUCUGCCAAUACUGCCUGAUUGGAAAAUUAGGAGAGCCACGUGCAUUUGCUUCAUAUUGUCGAGGAUGGAAAACCCUGGCCCUUUGUGCUGUAAGGAAAAUAUCUGAGAGGCUAUUGGUCUAAGUUUGUGUUUUUAAUGUUUAUUUAUUUACUUUUGAGAGAGAGAGCGCGCACAAGUGGGGGAGGGACAGAGAGAGAGAGAGAGAGGGAGACACAAAAUCCAAAGCACGCUCCAGGCUCUGAGCUGUCAGCACAGAGCCCAACACGGGGCUUGACUCACAAACCGUGAGAUCACGACCUGAGUGGAAGUCAGACACUUAACCGACUGAGGCCCCUGGGCGCCCCAAUGGGGUCUGAGCUUUCAAUGUCACGGAGAGAGAAUGCGCCAGAGCGGCAUCAACGCUGAUGGACCAAAAUGGUGAGGAAAAUGGGGUAAAAAUGGGAAAUAAAUUAGGAUGUCUGAGAGGCAAGCCAUCACUAACACCAGAGAAGGAUUAAACCCCAAACACUACUUAUGACUUUUAUGUGUAAGUUUGCAAUUCAUAUUAGUCCCACAGAGAAGCUACAUUAAGAAUAGUGGAUUAAAUAAAUAAAUAAAGAAUAAUGGCAGACUGUGGCGAUUGUCAUUUGUCACCCAUAGAUAGUGCUCCACGUUUCCACUCGGUGGCAACAAAACCAGUGAUCUAAAUAUUAGCAAGUGGAACACACGAUAAACAUUUAGUUAUAUAUUAUUAUCCCUGUAAAGUCAUUACAACAGAAAUAAAAACUGUUUUUUAUUUUAACUAUUAAUAUUCAUCAAAUGUUAAUGAAAAUACCUAACAAAUAAUUAUGAAAAACACAUGGCUUAAGUAAUAAAGAUGAAAGAGAUGAUAAUCGUCGUGAAUAUUUAAUCUGCAAAAUAAAGAACAUACCAUUAAUAAGACUUAAUUAUGUCAUUAAAUAUUUAACUUUACUUUCGCUCCUAAAUUUUGUUUGCACUUGGCAUAUUUCAAAUGCAAAAAGCUUUUCAAUAAGAUUUGUGGUUUCAGCAACAUCAAAUGCCAGCACAUCUAAGUUUGACUUACUGUCUUCAUCAAAUUGGUCAAACAUCAUUUUAUUUAUCAUUAAGUGAAAUGAACGACGCUCUGGCGUUCACUACAAGUUAUGCUUUACACAAAAGCGGGGUUUAAUAAUUGAUUCUAGGUUAGAGCCACAAAAACAGUGUUUUCUAGUGGUGAGGAAAAAGAAUUGCUUUUCUUUUAGUUUGUUUGUUUGUUUGUUUUGUUUUUUGGAGUAUCACACUACUUUGUGCAUUCCCUACCGUUUGCAUAGACAAAUGCAGAUCUGAUUCUGCCUUGGCUUGCUAGAGAAUGGAUCCUACAGCAGCCACCAAUAGAUGCACCCAUUUCCUCGGAAUUGGUCCCUUAUAACUCCUGUUUCCCGAAACACGCUUACAAGUAACAGAGAGUAAGAUAGGUUCCUGGUGCCGCUGAAGGCACUGGGAACUCCCGCCCUCCCCCUGGCAUGAAGUGACAGCCUCCUCUCCGUCGCCCAGUGCAGGGCUUGGCUGUAUCGCUCAGUGGGCACAGCCAGACCACGCGCACAGCAUAGGGACACAGCUGGCCCUGCUCGUCACGGCCAACUACGCGCAUCUCUUCACAUUCUGUGUUCAGCGGCAUCACACUGGUGGCCGGAAAUCAGCCGUGAAACGUUUACACCAAAGAAAUGGGCAAAUGCUACUCUGGGCUCCACCGCGCCUCCCAUCCUAGAGGACCCGUUAAACGUUUACUAGUGCAUCCCUGCGCGCACAUGCAGGGAUCCGGACGUGAUGCCCGGCCGUCUCCUCCUGUGCCCUUUCCCUAUCGGGGCCUCUGAUGACCCGAAGCUCAAACACCGUGUGGUCGCCAGCAGGGCAGGGCACCAGGCACCCACCUCAGGCAGCUCUCACUGUGCGGUGUGGCCGCUCGGUCUUUCUCCCCUGGCCUCUGAGUCUCCUGACCAACUUUUCUUCCUGGUCGGGCAGCUGAGGCAGGGGCGUAAACGGCCUUGGCAGGCUUUUCCUUCGCUGACUAGAACAUAAAGAGCUCUUUGUUGGGAGAGGAAGGCCAAUCCUUUCAUGGAAGUCUCUAGCUAUGUUUGCUGCUCAGUCAGUACCUCAAGUUGGGCCCUGAGGGCCAAGCAGGAAGCUGGACCAGAGGCAAGGGACCCACUGUCCCAGUUGGCCCAGGACUGAGGGCCUUACUGUACUAAAACUAAGGGUAGUUCCAGACGACCCUAGCUGGUUGGUCACCCUCAGGGAAUCUCCCAUCAUUUCUCUCUCUCUGAGGCUGGACGCUGGGUGACAUCAGGAGGCCCAGAUCUUUGGAAAGGCCUCUUCCUCCUCUGAUGGCUGCCGGCAAGAACAGGAGAAAGCAGGAAAGAAACUAGAAUUCCUGAGGGGAGAUGCAGUGUUUCCAUCCUGGGGCAUAAAUGAAGGUCGUGGGCUCAAUCCGUCACCCAUUAAGGACCCCAGUUACCUAAUCUCCAGGGCGUGAGCCCCAGGUGCUGGGAGAGGCCUGCAGGGAGGCUGGUCUGGCCUCCCGCCUCCUGACUGUCAGGCCUGUGCAGGCCCAUUGAUAUUCCAGGGCGGUCGGCAGCCUCAGAGUUUCCCAGCCCCCACAGACAGGCUCUUCUGACGUUCCUUUCCAACUUGGCCGUCGGUACCUGACUGGCACACCGGUCCGGCCCUUGGGGGCAGCAGCCGGGCACGUCGGCCUGUCGAUACUAGACAAACAGGCCCAUCCUGACCCCCGCGGCGGCCUUCAGGGACGUGCUGGCCCUUUUCAGAGGAAACAUUGGUGUCUGUGCAAAACUUCCAACUUUGAAAGAAUGAACGGUGACCAGAAUAAUAAUGGGGCGAGUCGCCCGGACUCCUCGUGCUCAAACUUGUCUUAGAGUCGAGCCGUUUUUGAUCGUCUCCCCGUUUUCCCAUCUCUGCGGUGAGGUGGGCAGUCAGGCGGGCCCCAGGGCUGCUGGGCUGGGGGUGGUGUUGGGUGGUUCCCCUUACUCCUGAGGGGCUCUGUCCACAUAGGGGGUGCUCGUGCACAGGCUGGAGUCUGUCUUGUUAGCCAGCAAGAGGCUGAUUAACUGUCCCUAGAGAUUCAGAGGCUGGGACGGGUGACUUUAGUCACCGCGUAAGGCCCGGCCACUCAUCGGUUUUGCCUCCCUCCGCCUGCCUGCCAUUUGCCAGCCCUCUAAGGGUCUACUCAGGGACCACCCCUCCGAAGUCUCAGCAGCUCAGUCAGAAGCUCCCUCUCCAGGCUCACCUGGCAUUCAGUGCUUAAGUCUUUCAUGGCCCUUGCUCAUAUCAACACUAUUUUUUGUCCUCCUCGAGGACUUCUGGGCAGAAGGGAGCUUUUCGUAUCAUCUCUGCAUCGAUAACAGCACCUUAUACUCAGUAAAUGCUCAAUAAAUGCCCACGGAGGGUUUUGAAUGCUUGCAGGACUCCCUUUGAAUCACAGCUCAAGGGAUUACCUCUCCCAGGAAGCUUUUUUGGGUUAAUCAAGGGUACCUUCACCUUUAAGUAUGAUCCCGACCCUCCCUUAUGUUGGGAAGUAGUGAAUAUGGUGUAAUUAGUCUUGAUAGCUAAUGUGAGUUGAGCACUCACAACAUGCCAGGCGCUGUGGGAAGCACUUCACGUGCCUUUCUGUCCUUAAGUGACAACACCCCACUGAAUUAAGUUCCGCUAACAUGGUCCCCAUUAUCCAGAUGAUAAAGAGGAGGCACCGAGAGGUUAAGAAACUUACGUAAGUUGACUUAUCUGGGAAGUGCUGAGGUCAGGAUCGAACCCAUCUCGUCUGGCUUUCGACUGGCUCGCUCACGAUGUCCUACUCUCUCUGAGUUUUAUAUUUGGUUGCGUAUUGAAUGAAUGGUUGAAAUCCCCAGGGUGGCAUUUCUGUGAUGAAAUGUGCCUGCACAGUCCAACCGGCAGCCCCUUUCCCCGUGGGGCCGCUGAGCCCCUGAAAUGUGGCGAGAGUGUGCCCAAGAAAAUAAAACGUUUACGUUUUAACUAAUGUCAGUUUCAAUAGCCUCAUGUGACUAGUCGCUACUGAAUUGGACAGCACAGCACGGAAGCUGAAGGAUGUAUUUUGACUAUCUUUUCUAAGUCUCUUACCGUGUAGUCCACGGCCAUCCAAGAAGAACUUGGAAUGGCUAGUCUUCGUGUCUUUCAGUGCUGGGAAAACACCCAGCUAUUACUUGCGCUGAAUUCGUGGAAUAAGUCGAUGUCCAUCCUUACAGUGUUUUUUUCCUACCUCCAGUGGUUUCCCGCACGCGAAGACACGCACAGUUCUAGUUUCUUCAUUCACAGAGGCCUGGAGAAGAAUAGACGGUCCAGGGCGGACUGGUAAACUAGCGCUGAGACCAGGGACAGGAAGUGAGCUACCCUGACAACACCUACUACGCGCUGGGUCUUGCGUUGGGCAUUAUCUUAUUUACUCCGAAAAGCGAUUGGGCGGCCUCACUAAUUCCCAUUGUAUGGUUGGGGAAAACUCAGAAAGUCACACUCAGGAAGUGACAGAGACGUGGCUUGAGCUGAGUCUGUGUGAUUUCACUGGCCCGUCAACUUUCAUCUUGAUCACAGAAUGUUCACUGUUCAACGGCAAAGAGGAAUAUUCGAGACUGACCACCUGUUCAAAGUGUGUGUGUGUGUGUGUGUGUGUUUAUUGUUCCAAUAGUGAUACAAGGCAAUUGGUUAGAAUUUAGCGUCCUAGCAAAAUGGACCUCUUUUGUAUUCUUACCUCUCUGUAUUCCUCAUAGGAUAGAAAAUUCUAGAGCUGCAAUGUCCAAUACAGUAGGCAGUAGCCACUGUGGCUAGUGGGCCCUCGAAACGUGGCUCAUUGAGAUGUGUUACAAGUAUAAAACACACACCAGAUUUCAAAGAUUUGGUAUGGAAAAAAAAAGAAUAUAAAAUACCUCACUGAUGAUUUCUAUAUGGAUCAUACUGAAAUGAUUGCAUUUUAGAUAUAUUGAGGGUAUAGAGCAAUUGAUGUUCUUUCUUUUUACUUUUUUAAAUAUGGCUCCUAGGAAAAUCUAAGCGGCCUCUGCGGUUCACAUUAUAUUUACAUCGGAGAGCACCAGUGUCUAGGGGAGUGUACUUGCGAAUUCUGGAUAAAAGGUGCCUUCUAACAUCCGCUCUGUCAAGCAGUCCUGCCUGUAACCGCGGGCGUGUGAGUGACUCGGAGAGUUUCAAAGAUGCCGCCGUGACACUGGCUGCUGCUGGCCUUUCUUCCGCACCCGCCCCUGGGCUGAGCCGGCUCCCACAACUCUUCAAUCUUCAGCCUCAGUCGGAGAGGAGAACCGAAAGGGAGGAGGAGGAGGAGGAAAUGAGAGCAAACCAAAGCUGUGUUCCUCCUGUACCUGCCUCGGUUCUUAGUGGGGUGUGGGAUAGAUGGACGGGGACAAUAGGCAGAUUAACCGGGACAGAGGGGGGAUGCACCCUUGCAUCAAUUACUCAGUCAGCGAGAAAUCCCACCAAAUGAACUCUGGCUGCAGGUCAAAGCUGUUCUCCGAUUCCACGGUCAAAUUAGCCCUCGCCUGGGACUCCAUAAUGGGGACUGCAGGUGAGGUGAAUGAGCUCUCAGACACAGAUGCUUCAGGAACACGCCCCGAGGAACAGAGACAGGAACGGGAACAGGGCGCCGAGGCUGCCGUGGGUCCUGAGCGAGCAGUUUUAAGGAGCCCCCCCGCCCCCGACUCCCCGCGAAGCACAGCGCCCACCAGUGAGCCAGCCUGGUCCCACUUUGACCUCCGGGAUCCGGGGCUUCUGAGGACAGAUCUAGAGCUCGUGAACUGGGAUACGAGGCCGUGCCUGGGUUCAGAAUUCUCCGGGAAGCCACAGGACUUCACCCUCGCUGCAGGAAAGACAACAGGCGUUUUUAAUGAUCUGGAAGCCAGGUGUCCACCAGGCAGCUGGCUGAUGGAGGCUGUGUCACAGAAAGUCUGAGAUUCUGUGACUUCUUCUAUGGGACAUGGAAAACAACCAAGACCCUUAGCUGUAGAGAAUAAACUGAUGAUCACCAGAGAGGAGGUGGGUGGGAGGUGGGUAAAAUGGGUGAUGGGGACUAAGGAGUGCACCUGUCGUGAUGAGCUCCGGACGAAGUGCUCAAUCACUAUUCUGUGCACCUGAAACGAAUAUAACCCUGGAUGUUAACUCUACUGGAAUUUAAAAUAAAAUUUAAGAAAAAAUACACGCCUUAAAGAAAGAUGUUGUUUAUGUUACAUAAACCGCUUACUUUUGCAAAACUGGCCCUUGCUGAUUUAACUGGUGGCUCACUCGUUCGUUCAUUUACUGACCGCUGUGGUGGGCCAGGCACCCUGCUCUGUGUCAGAAACACAAAGUUUAAUAAGACGUGGUCCCUGCCUUCAAGGCGCUCAUAACCCGGGAGGAAAAACAGUUGCAGAGACGAUCGGGUAACUGUGGUAUGUGCUGUGCUUGAGGCUGAGUGAUGGGCUCCACCCAGCGUGGGGCAAGGCUUCGGAGAGAGGACAAACCGUGUCUUUAACGUGGGUUUAAAAAUAAGUGCCUUAUAAGAGCCAAUGCCUUGUCUCCCUCCUCCUCUGUCUAACAUUUGUCCACGGUGGCUCUAAGGAAUUUGGCCACGUUAUCCGGCUACCAGUAAACAACUACGCCAGCCCUUCUAUGGGCUGAUCUGCUUAGUAUUCUAUUUUGUGCAAUCAGAGAUUAAAUUCCAAAUUCACUGGCACUGAAGAUGAAACAGCUAAUUACAUACAGUAAUUGCAUUUAAAAUCCAUGCCUUUGAGUGACUGAUGAAAUCUGCUUUUUAAAUGCUCCUGAAACUCAAUGUACCCAGCAACUGACUGUGGUUAAGGGGCAGUGUAUUUUUAGUCCUGGAGUGUGGGCAUGGCUUCAGCCUCUUUCGCCCAUGUCCUUUCCUUGAAUUCAGUCUGUGCACUUAAAAGAAUACUUUUGUCCAAAAGGAAGAAGUAAAAUUGGCUGUUUGCAGGUGGCAUGAUAUUACACAUAGAAGACCCCAAAGACUCCACCAAAAAAAACCCACCCCAAACAUUAGAACAAAUACGCACAUUCAGUAAGGUUGCAGGAUAUAAAAUCAAUAUCCAAAAAUCGCUUGCAUUUCUAUGCACUAACCACAACCUAUCAAAAAGAGAAAUUAAGAAAAUCUUAUUUACAAUAACAUCAAAAGGGAUAAAAUAGGAACAAAUUUAACCAAGGGGGUGAAAGAUCACACUGAAAACUACAGAACAUUGGUAAAAGGAACUGAAGGAGACGCAAAUACAGGGAAAGAUAGUCUGUGUUCAUAAACUGGGACAGUAAACAUUGUUAAAAUGUCUAUACCACCCAAACUCUCUACGGAUGCAGGAUUAUUCCUAUCAAAAUUCCGAUGGCAGUUUUCACAGAAAUAAGAAAAAUGAGCUUCAAAUUCAUAUGGAACCACCAAAGGCCGGGAAUAGCCAAAGCAAUCCUGAGAUAGAACAAAGCUUAACAAAGAGGCACUGUACUUCCUGAUUUCAAACAAGGCUACAGUAAUCAAAACAGUGUGGCAUUGGUCUAAAAACAGACACACAGGCCAAUGGAGCAGAGUAGGCAGCUCAGAAAUAAACCCACACGUGUAUCAUCAAUUGCUGUUCAACAAAGGAGCGAAGGAUUUACAAGGGGGAAAGGAUAGUCUUUUCAAUAAAUGGUAGGGGGAGAACUAAAUAUCCACAUGCAAAAAAGGAUCUUCCACCAUACACAAAAAUCAGCUCCAUAUGUAUUAAAGGCAUGAACGUGAGACCUGAAAACAUAAAACUCAUUGAAGAAAACACAGGGUAAAAGCUCCUUAACAUUGGUCUUGGCGAUGAUUUUGUUUUAUUUGACACUGAAAGCAGAGGCAACAUAAGCAAAAGUAAACAAGUGGGACCCAUCAAAUUA